rnacentral:sRNA from 2 species
GUCGCUGCCAAUUCAGCGACCGGGCCUGAGAACCCGGGUAAGAUACGGGCGCACAAGCGCCACCAAUCACGAUUGCCGGCGCUUUUUUU